rnacentral:tRNA from 8 species
GCCCAGAUGGCGGAAUUGGUAGACGCGCCGUCUUCAGGUGGCGGUGGGGGCAACCCCGUGGAGGUUCGAGUCCUCUUCUGGGCACCA